GCCGGGCACAGUGGCGCACGCCUGUAAUCCCAGUGACUCAGGAGGCUGAGGCAGGAGGAUCUCAAGCUUGAGGCCAGCCUCAGCAACUAAAAGGUCCUGAGCAACUGAGGGAGACCCUGUCUCAA
rnacentral:sRNA from 1 species